GUAGGGAAUAUUGCGCAAUGGACGAAAGUCUGACGCAGCGACGCCGCGUGAGUGAUGAAGGCCUUAGGGUCGUAAAGCUCUGUUGAAUGGGAAGAAAAAAAUGACGGUACCAUUCGAGGAAGGACCGGCUAACUUCGUGCCAGCAGCCGCGGUAAUACGAGGGGUCCUAGCGUUGUUCGGAAUCAUUGGGCGUAAAGGGUGUGUAGGUGGCCUGGUAAGUCAGGUGUGAAAGCCCCGGGCUCAACCCGGGAAGUGCACUUGAUACUGCGUGGCUUGAGUACCGAAGAGGGUAGUGGAAUUCCAGGUGUAGUGGUGAAAUACGUAGAUAUCUGGAGGAACACCGGUGGCGAAGGCGGCUACCUGGUCGAGUACUGACACUGAGACACGAAAGCAUGGGGAUCAAACAGGAUUAGAAACCCCUGUAGUCC
rnacentral:rRNA from 1 species